rnacentral:lncRNA from 1 species
GAGAGAGAGCUUGUGGUGUUGCCACGUAGAAAAUGACAAUUUUGAAAAUAACACAUGAACUAAAGGUUAGUUAUCUAUAAACUAUAAUGCUCCUCAAAUAAUAAUAAAGGGAUAACUCAUAUUUGAACAGAUUCUUUUAUACACGUGAGCCGUGAGGGUAUUAAACUAAUUUUAAGUAACUAAUCGAUUAUAUUUUUCUUUUAUACACGUGAGUCGUGAGGGUAUUAAACUAAUUUUAAGUAACUAAUCGAUUAUAUUUUAUUU